AGUGAACGCUGGCGGUAGGCCUAACACAUGCAAGUCGAACGGCAGCACAGUAAGAGCUUGCUCUUACGGGUGGCGAGUGGCGGACGGGUGAGGAAUACAUCGGAAUCUACUUUUUCGUGGGGGAUAACGUAGGGAAACUUACGCUAAUACCGCAUACGACCUACGGGUGAAAGCAGGGGAUCUUCGGACCUUGCGCGAUUGAAUGAGCCGAUGUCGGAUUAGCUAGUUGGCGGGGUAAAGGCCCACCAAGGCGACGAUCCGUAGCUGGUCUGAGAGGAUGAUCAGCCAAAUUGGAACUGAGAAACGGCCCAGACCCCUAGGGGAGGAAGAAGUGGGGAAUAUUGGACAAGGGGCGAAAGCCUGAUCCAGCCAUACCGGGGGGGGGAAGAAGGCCUUCGGGUGGUAAAGCCUUUUUGUAGGGAAAGAAAAGCAGCAGCUUAAUACCCCGCUGUUCGGACGGUACCCAAAGAAUAAGCACCGGCUAACUUCGU
rnacentral:rRNA from 1 species